CCCCCCCCACACUGGUACUGAGACACGGACCAGACUCCUACGGGAGGCAGCAGUGAGGAAUAUUGGACAAUGGAGGAAACUCUGAUCCAGCCAUGCCGCGUGCAGGAUGAAUGCCCUAUGGGUUGUAAACUGCUUUUAUACAGGAAGAAACAUUUCCACGUGUGGGAACUUGACGGUACUGUAAGAAUAAGGAUCGGCUAACUCCGUGCCAGCAGCCGCGGUAAUACGGAGGAUCCAAGCGUUAUCCGGAAUUAUUGGGUUUAAAGGGUCCGUAGGUGGUUAUUUAAGUCAGAGGUGAAAUCCUGCCGCUUAACGGUAGAACUGCCUUUGAUACUGAUUAACUUGAGUUAUUGUGAAGUAGUUAGAAUAUGUAGUGUAGCGGUGAAAUGCAUAGAUAUUACAUAGAAUACCGAUUGCGAAGGCAGAUUACUAACAAUAUACUGACACUGAGGGACGAAAGCGUGGGUAGCGAACAGGAUUAGAUACCCUGGUAGUCCACGCCGUAAACGAUGGUCACUAGCUGUUUGAUUAACAUUGGUUAAUUAAGUGGCUAAGCGAAAGUGAUAAGUGACCCACCUGGGGAGUACGCUCGCAAG
rnacentral:rRNA from 1 species